rnacentral:tRNA from 1 species
GGGUGUGUAGUCUAAGGAAGGCGCCGGUUUUGUAAUCCGGAAAUGGGUAUUUCCCCUCACCCU